AGGACGACUCUCGGCAACGGAUAUCUCGGCUCUCGCAUCGAUGAAGAACGUAGCGAAAUGCGAUACUUGGUGUGAAUUGCAGAAUCCCGUGAACCAUCGAGUCUUUGAACGCAAGUUGCGCCCCAAGCCUUCUGGCCGAGGGCACGUCUGCCUGGGUGUCACAA
rnacentral:rRNA from 1 species